UGCAAUUAAAUUUAAAACAUGGAAGAAAUGUGUAAUUAAAAAAAUAAUGUUUGUUUCAUUCUAGUAGUAGUCGUCUGUACAAUCUACUGAACAAUAUAGUAAUAUACAUCUUUUACAGAUAUCUUCAAAUUACACCGGACUUUUAUUUUGAUGGGUUGCCGUGAAUAGCUUUGCAGUUCUCGUUUUACUCAAAUUAAAAGGUAAAAUGCCCGUGAAGUGACUUAGAUCACUUCUGGAGAUGAUGUUCAUGUAUUUAUUUCCUGAUUUAGUGAGAUGACAGAUGCUGAAAUCACAGCUAGCAUCACACACACUUCAGUAUGUGUGUAGUAAACAAAACCGCACGUCUGUGCCAUUCACACACAGACAAACAACAUGUAGAAUACAUAUUUAAAUAGUAUUUUUGCAGCUUGAUAUUUACAGAUACUAGUAGUUUGAAUUAGGUGUAAUGACCUACUUUUAAUUCAUUCAACAUUUUACAAAUUCUGUGACUUCCACGUUAUUCAGUAAAUUCCAUUUUUAUGACUGGAUUCCCUGAUUGUUUACGUUUUCCUGUCAUAGGGCCCUACUUUUGAUGCUUUAGUUACAGACAGUGUUAAUAGGAAUAUGGGAAUUGGCCUUUCCUUCCAAUAGGCUUUCAACUAUCAAUAAUAUAUCUCCAACUUUCAGAGGGCUUUUAAUGAGUAGAAUGUGUAAGAGAAACAUUUUUAUGGGAAUUCUCUCAUUUUGUUGUUAAAUGUAAAACCUGAUAUUUGUAUAUCAACAAGUUUAUGAUAUUAUUAAAACAAUACUUUUAACUAAGCAAAUAUGCUUUAUUUUGUAUUGAAAUUGUAUAAAUUGUUUUAAGUUUCUGAAGGCAAGUAUUUUCUUAAGUGAACCUUUUAGUCAAUCUCAUUUUUAACUCUUAAAGUCAACAUGAAAUCAAAAUGGACCCCUUCUACUUCCUUCAAUACACGUUAGUGUUUUUACUGUGCAUGUUAUUCUUAUUUUUUAUUUUAUUGUAAUAUUUAUCAAAUGUUAUUACUUGCUCCACCUCUAAAAUUGUCUUUGUUGGCACCACGGCCACCUACAUUUUGUCAUAUGAUUGCUGGUUGUGUUUUUAGGAGGGAAAUAGUCCUCCACUGACCUUCAAAUCUGACUUUGCCAUGACAUUUUUUCCCCUUCUUGACCAUUUGACUGCUAAAAUGUUUUAUGGGGG